AUACCACCAGCAGCGCCCACUGUGUCAUCCCUCUCCAGGUCCAGCAUGAACCUCCGGCCUCCCGCGUAGACAAGGACUUCCUCGGCUCUGCUGGAACCCGAAGCCAGGGAAAAAUGAGACGGGAGGAAAGAAGAGAAAAGAAAACACCUAAAACGUUUAAAAAUCAAAAGCUAGGAGGCGGCCUGCGGAGAACCAGCGAGGCGGCGCGUCCCGGUCCCUUCCGCUGCCGCGUCCUCCCGCCAGGGAUCAUCCCCAAUCGGCUGCUGCGGGCGCGGAGAGCGGCUCAGGCGCUGUGAAGAUGCGAGGAGGUGGGACAAUGAAUUUAUAGCGGCGUGCCAUCCUGCAAUGGCAAUUUCAACAAUUCGUCACUGCACGCUGCCUCUUAAAGGGAGAGCUUCCCCCACCACUCCCACCCUUCCCGGUCCGCGCCUAAUCUGAUGGGGGAGGGCACAGGCAGAGGAGGAGGGUGAUCGAGGAAAGGGAGACCGGGAAGGAGGAAGGGGCCAGAACCUAGCAAGGUGGAAGGAGAGACAAAGGAGGGAGUAAGGAUAAGCGAGAGAUUGAGAGAGAAAAAGUAUCUGAGCAGGAAACAAGAAAAUUCACUUGGCCUCAUUUAAAGCCGCAGCAACUCCGGGUUUGUGUGGUAUUUCACAACCAAUCGGGGUUGGCUAACCUCGGCUUACCUCAUCUCCUGAAAGGGUGUUUUUGGUGUGUUUUCAAAGUCUCUCCCUGCUGCCUCGUUCCCGUUGCUGUUCUUGCGCGGGAUAUGAAGUUCUUGCCUUGUUUUGCUGGCCGAUGCGCUCUGGCCUUGUAGACCUGGUAAUUUCACUGGUCAGGGCAGCCACCCGUGCACCCUCGAGUCCAUCUCUCCUUUCCCUGGCUCCCUCCAGUCGGUCCCGGUAGCUGAUUUCCAGCCUUCUCAUCUCCUAGCUUGUUCAAGCUCCAGCACUUGCUGACUUUGGGCUAAGGGUGACUAACUUCUCCCAGCCACCAGCUGAGUAGCCAGGCAGCCACGGGUGCUUCCUGGCGAGUCUCUGGGCAUGCAGCACUGCGGUGACCCCAACAGGGCCGACUGCGGCCUGGGAAGUCCUUGGCUUUGUGUAUAAAUGGCGGUGCUCCCAGCUUUUUCCAGCGCAUAGUUGGUCGGUGCCCACAAUCUGUCACUCACCCCAGCCACUGGAACUCUCUGAGCUGUAGGAUGUCAGGGUGGGAAAGAGUUAACUCUUGAAGGGAAUUCCGCACCCCCACCCCAGACUUUUACAUUUGUGCUCACACGUUCUCCCUUUCCUUCUUAAAAGGUAAUUAAAUGGCAAACACUC